rnacentral:rRNA from 1 species
AAUGAACGCUGGCGGCAGGCCUAACACAUGCAAGUCGAACGGGUGCCUUCGGGUGCUAGUGGCGGACGGGUGAGUAACGCGUGGGAACAUGCCCAAAGGUACGGAAUAGCCUCGGGAAACUGAGAGUAAUACCGUAUGUGCCCCUUGGCUGUAGUGGUCGGGGGGGAAAGAUUUAUCGCCUUUGGAUUGGCCCGCGUUGGAUUAGGUAGUUGGUGGGGUAAUGGCCUACCAAGCCGACGAUCCAUAGCUGGUUUGAGAGGAUGAUCAGCCACACUGGGACUGAGACACGGCCCAGACUCCUACGGGAGGCAGCAGUGGGGAAUCUUAGACAAUGGGGGCAACCCUGAUCUAGCCAUGCCGCGUGAUCGAUGAAGGCCUUAGGGUUGUAAGAUCUUUCAGUUGGGAAGAUAAUGACGGUACCAACAGAAGAAGCCCCGGCUAACUCCGUGCCAGCCGCCGCAGUAAAAC